CUUUCUUUGCUGGCGACCGGCGCACGGGUGAGUAACACGUAUCCAACCUGCCCUUUACUCGGGGAUAGCCUUUCGAAAGAAAGAUUAAUACCCGAUAGCAUAAUGAUUCCGCAUGGUUUCAUUAUUAAAGGAUUCCGGUAAAGGAUGGGGAUGCGUUCCAUUAGGUUGUUGGUGAGGUAACGGCCCACCAAGCCUUCGAUGGAUAGGGGUUCUGAGAGGAAGGUCCCCCACAUUGGAACUGAGACACAGUCCAA
rnacentral:rRNA from 1 species